UACGUAGGGUGCAAGCGUCAAUCGGAACUACUGGGCGUAAAGCGUGCGCAGGCGGUUUUGUAAGUCUGUUGUGAAAUCCCCGGGCUCAACCUGGGAAUGGCAAUGGAGACUGCAAGGCUAGAGUUUGGCAGAGGGGGGUAGAAUUCCACGUGUAGCAGUGAAACGCGUAGAUAUGUGGAGGAACACCGAUGACGAAGGCAGCCCCCUGGGUCAAAACUGACGCUCAUGCACGAAAGCGUGGGGAGCAAACAGG
rnacentral:rRNA from 1 species